AAUAUUUUUGGGUGAGGGGCCCCAUAAUUUUUGAAAUUUUUUGGGGUGGUUUUAUUUUUUAAAAAAUAA
rnacentral:tRNA from 1 species